GCUCCCGAAAAGCAGCCACACUGAGCUGCAGAAAAAGUUUGCAAUUUCUAAGAUCUCUGAACUUCACGAGUGCAGCCUAGCCUACAGGUCAUUAGUUCAGUCUUGAGGCUAAGUUUUGAACUACCUAUGACCAGAUGGUUAACAGAGCAAACAGCUAGAGGCCAAAAGGAAUUCUGUCUGCUAACUGCACCCAGACUGCAGAGUGGGCUGUCACUGAAUUGCAGCAUCCCGAGACAGUAUUCCAUAAUCAAAAAUCAAAUCAGGUCUUACUAACUACAGCAUCUCCCAAUGACGGCGGUCAACAUGAUUUGUAUGUGACCUUCACUUUAAUUUCCUGUGCAGUUUCUACCCAAAGCAAGGGGCUAUAAAAAGUGUGAUGUAAAGACGUUUAGCCAUUAUUUGAAAAAGUCUUCUUUUUUCUAAGUGAAAAAUGUCACUGCAUUGAAUUUAUUCUAAUGGGUUAGAUCCCACUUAUAAUUGGCAAAAGUUGGAGAACAUGAGACGUACAAAGGGGUGGUUUUCAACCUUUAAGUUACACAGAAUUACCAAUGCUCUAGGUUCUCUAUAAUUUUUCCCUGUUGAAAAAAAAAGUAUUUGUGAAUGGUACUCAUGUAAGACAUGCACAUUGUCUUUGAAAGGUAUCCCAGCUAAAUGGGAAAACGUUAGGCAAGCAUUUAUAAUUGAACAACUCAUAGACAAUGAGGCUCUCCACAAAACCCUUCCUUUCAGCACUCCCUUUUGGCUUCUUCCUAUGAGUUCUCUAAAACAGGCAGCUAAUGAACUAGAUACUUCAGGGCUUGGCUUCGUUCUUCCUGUGGUUUUGCAUCUUGCUAUAUUUCAAAUUUUUCGUUCGUUGGAGGAAACUAUUGCAGAAAACCACUGGUGUGUUCUCAAAUCAGCACAGGCCAAUGUCAAGGAAAACUGGGGAUUUGUCUCUCCAAACUUCUUCCCACUGAUCCUAGACGGUAAACGAUGGCGCUUGUCAUCUUUAGCUUUUGCUUCUUGGUCCACAGAUUCCCUGUCCCAAAUGUGUCCCUUUGUCAGGACAGUUUCGUCCUGCUGGCUACCGUGUUACAUCUGGUGGAAGCCAGAAUCCCCUACUCUACCACCCCCCUCCCCAGAAGGCCAACCCUGGCACCUCAGAAUAAUUUCAGACGGCUGCGAUUCAAAGGGUCUGCACUCUGCUAACAGGAAGCACCAACAUGAGCGAAGCCUGAAGUUUCACUGGAGUGUGCACCGUGCACAUCAGGCCUGGUGAUGGGAAUGGAAGCUCCAAGGGCCUCCUGCUUCCCACUCCGUUUCUGAUCUCUCAGUCAGCCCUCCUGGUUGAUGACCCCAGUGUUGUCAGCACAACAGGUGUAGCUUUAUCUUGUCUAGCAUAAUUAAUAACUUUAAAAAGUGCUUUCGGGAUGUGAAAAGGUAACUGUACGUGUUUGAUAAGCCAAUGUUCCUGUCUCGUGCUAAACUCUGCAUGCAGACUGGUUAACCGGAAUAACCAGCCAUCAGUGGACGGACCAUGAAACAGUAUUUAGAACAGAUGUAUUUCCAAAAAGCAUCUACCAAGAAUACCUUCUUGAAUAUUUGCCUUUAGUGUGUCUUAUUACACAGAAGAGCAGUGGGGUCUACUUAUUGGCAAUUUCUCUGUUUGUGCAGAUACAUACUCAUUCUAUCCAAAAGCGUAACGAACAGUUCCUGUGACGUCAGCAUUCUAGAUUUAGAGUUAAGGAGUAGCCACAUAGAUUCGUUCGUGAUUUCUUUAGACUGUAGCCAUACUCUAAGCUAUGAAGUGGGACCUGACACCCGUAUGUGACAAGUGUUUGCUGUCCAACUCGUUUUCUCUGCAUGUCCCUAAGAAUACACUACAUAUACAGUGACCACGUGUUUCGUGUCCUUUUAAGUAAGUAGGUUCAAAAGCACUUACUAAAAUGCCAUUAAGCAUGAUUGUGAUUUUAUGUACAUCAUAUAUAUAUGAAUAUAAAUAUCAGUGUAAACCUGUGCUCAGUAUGUAAGAGUAUGAAUAUAUUUUUAACUGUGCUAAUAUGUAUGUUGGGAAGACUUGCCAUAACAUGAUUACGGUAGUUCAUUUCUCAUGACCUCCGUGAGAAACAGAAGCUCUCCUAACUCAUACUGUAUAUAUUCUGAGGGGCACAAAGCUUACGAUAACCCUGAUGAUCACCAUACUUAUAGCCAUGACAAGGCAAUGUCUACGGUCCUUUGUAUUGAAACCCACAGCACUGCUGCCUAAGAAGGCAUUACUUUUGGGGUGAUACUUUGAUAAAAAAAAGUAUAAGAUUUGGGAGCUUUUCUCCAGGGUCUCUAGUUAGAAUGGUGUUAUUUGGGAAUUGUUGAGCUGACGCUUUAAAAAAAAAAAAAAAGGUUAAAUGAGAUCUCUUUAGUAAAGGUUAAAAGAAUACAGAGUCAGCAAAACUAUUAAAGCAUGAGGGGGACAGGAUACUCAAUUCCUUGCAGGUAUCUACUCUGUCAGGUAAACCUUGUACAUUUGGAAAACAGUACAAUUACAUCGAUGGGACUCUCUGUAGGAUGAGUGGCAAAACCUAAACAGACCUCCUAACUGUCUUAAUCCAGCAAGAGGUGACUGCAUGUAAGACAGAAGCAUGAGCGCUAUCACUUCACCUCGCACUAACCUGUGGACUAGAGUUCCUGUGAGUGAAGCCAAUUUUAGAGAAAUAACGGAUAGUUCGCCAGAUCCUUUAGUCUUUUCUAAAGAACUCAGCUUGUCUCCUAGAUAACAAUAGGUCGUCUGUCUAGCUGAUGUGUUUAAAAUUACGUGGUGCUCUGUGUGUGAAAUUUUAACAAUAUUUUUGAAGCAUAUAUAGUAUAUGCAUCGCUAGUUGUGUAUAUAUGCAUACAUGUAAUAAUAUCUGUAUGUGUGGAGAGCAAGAGACAGGAACCUCAGAGAACCUCCUGUUUAAGGCCUGUCAGCACUGGUACACUGGUGAGACUCCUCUUUCCACUGCUCAAGGACUACAUGUGGCUCAACUCAAGGCAUUCAUUUCCUUAUAACUUUUACCUUUAAGUCCCUUAAACUUUAACUCAUAAUGUUUUCGAUUUAUACAAAAACCACUCCCGUCUUGUACUGACCGCUGCCAAUCUGUGAAAACACCUCACAAACCAGAAACCCUACCACCAUAGCCCUGUGUGUUUGAUUUCAUAUACGCACUGCUUUUGUUCCAUGGGCUUGUACGUGUUCCUCCUCUCUCCCCGUUCUGAGUCAAACUUCAUUUCGCUUUCGUGUGAAUGACUGAGUACAUAGAAGUCAAACCUUGUUUUCUCCGUUGAUUCUUUAACAUGAACCAGAAUACUUCCCACUGUCGUUUUUACCACUUUGGGGAUUUCUUAAUGCUGGAUUAAUAUGGAUUCUGUGAAUGGGAUUUUUUUGAAGCAAAUUCCUAAAAGCCUGUAUCAUCCUUGAAGGUCAUGUACCUAUUGUGAAAAAAAAAAUGUGAAACUGUAUUUCUGAACCUGAAAUAAAUGAUUACAUUUGAAGGAACCCCCAAUUCCUCAUCCUUGU
rnacentral:lncRNA from 1 species